rnacentral:rRNA from 1 species
CACUCUCGCAAAAGACCAACCAUGGUUUUUAAGCUCGACUUCUGAAAAGCUUUCGACUCCGUGGCUUGGCCCGCCCUUGACAGGAUCCUGGCCGUUCGUGGCUUCUCUCAAACCUUUCGUACCUGGAUGCAAAACAUUCUUCACACGGGCAAAGCUGCCAUUCUCCUGAAUGGGGUCCCAGGCAACUGGAUACAAUGCAAGAAUGGCUUGCGGCAAGGCGACCCGGCCUCCCCCUACCUUUUCCUCAUCGUCGCCGACCUGCUUCAACAGCUCAUCUUCCAGAGCUCUAAGUCUGCUCCCCACCACCCCAUCUUCUCCCACUUGCCUCCCACCGUUCUCCAAUACGCCGAUGAUACGCUCAUCAUUGCAGCCGCCUCCCCUGUCGCCGCCGCAGCCCUCAAAGUAACCCUAAACAAUUUCGCGCAAGCUACGGGCCUCACCAUCAACUUCUCCAAAACCACUCUAGCCACCCUCCACAUAGAUGAUACCAUGGCCACUGCCACUGCCCUUGCCAUGGGUUGCUCUCGCGCACCCUUCCCUCAAACUUAUCUCGGCCUACCCCUUGCCCCAACUAAACCUCCUACCAAUGCCUCCUACCAAUGCCUUCGCUCCGUUGAUAGAACGAUCUCGCAACCUACUGACGGGCUGGCGUGGUAA